UAUGAAGAACGCAGCGAAAUGCGAAAAGUAAUGUGAAUUGCAGAAUUCAGUGAACCAUCGAAUCUUUGAACGCACAUUGCGCCCGCUGGAACUCCGGCGGGCACGCCUGUCCGAGCGUCAUUUCAACCCUCAGGCCCCCCUUCGCGGGCGGGCCUGGUGUUGGGGCCCGGCCGCUACCCUGCGGCCGUCCCCUAAAUCCAGUGGCGGCCUCGCCGUGAUCCCUUGCGUAGUAAUGCACCUCGCACCGGAGAGCGCCGUGGCCACGCCGUAAAACCCCCAAUUUUCAAUGGUUGACCUCGGAUCAGGUGGGAAUACCCGCUGAACUUAAGCAUAUCAAUAAGCGGAGGA
rnacentral:misc_RNA from 1 species